CUUGUUGCUGAUUCCUCUCAGAUUCCCGGAACCUCCGGGCCCAGCAGCAUGACGUCUGCCUUGGAGAACUACAUCAACCGAACUGUUGCAGUAAUAACUUCUGAUGGCAGAAUGAUCGUGGGAACCCUGAAAGGUUUUGACCAGACCAUUAACUUGAUUCUGGAUGAAAGCCACGAGCGGGUGUUCAGCUCUUCUCAGGGAGUAGAACAAGUGGUAUUGGGGUUAUACAUUGUGAGAGGAGAUAAUGUUCAUUGGGGAAAUAGAUGAAGAGACAGAUUCUGCACUCGACUUGGGGAACAUCCGAGCAGAACCUCUGAACUCCGUAGCACACUGAGAGCUUAGUGUGCAGGAGACGUCUGUAAAUCCUGUACAGAGACUUCUUAUGCUCAGAGUGAUGUCUAGAUUUUUUUAUGAGUGUGUAAUUGUGGAUAUUUGACUUCAUGUUGGUACACUGUAAUAUGUAAUUUAAAUAUUUCUACCUUUUUAUCGGGAAACAUUGCCUAAAUUAAUGUGGUUGCUUGGUUUAUUUUUCUAUCAAAUGAAACAAAAAUGUAAGGGACAUUUUGGAAAGUUACAAAGUACCACUCUUUUUGGUAAUGUAAUAUUUAUAGGAAAUUGGCUGUAAAGAGAACUUAGACUGUUAUUGUAACUUAGACAUGCAACUAACAGUAAUAAAAGACACGUUUCUUUUUGUGGC
rnacentral:lncRNA from 1 species